UAUUGGGUUGAGAUGGUUCUUUGAUAUUGUUAUGGUAGUUUUCAUAUUUAUUUCCGGGCUGCUUCUCAAAGCAGUAAGAAUUGGCAGCCGCUCAAAAAACUGUCUGAAAAUCGAAUGGGCUGUCCAUAAACCUCUCUCGGAAGUAUCCGUCAGGAUCUUUCCAGGUUUUGGAAUCUCUUCUUGUUGCCGAAGCACUAACCAGUUACGUAUUUUAACAGGUUUCGGCCUGGAACUAGGAAUGCUCUAACCAUUUACUCUCGGAACAAGGAAUGCUUCAGGUGAGUGCAAUCUCAUGGUUUAUUUCACCACCAUCUUGAGGUGAGGAAUUUGCUGUAUAUCCCUUUCAAAUACUAUCUUGUUCCAGUAGUGCUAGUUACUGUUGCUUCUUGUACCUUUUCCAUCAGUCUUCAGUUCCUAGCAAGCUCUGCCAUAAUCCAGCCUGCAAAAAAAUGUUCUUAUAUUAGUGAGGCAGAACUCUUUCACUUGUCAACAAGUUAUUUAUCUGAGUUUCCUUUCGAUCGUCAGUUGAGAGUUGGAACCCGUGCACAACAAAAAGAUGAAUUAGGUGGAGUAUUAUGAUCAAUUAAUCCUUACUCGUACUGGUCAUAGACUGGGACGUACUAUUCGAAAUGAUGACAGCGCCGCCUCCAGUACCGGGGCAAAAUUUGCAAGGAUUAGUGAGGAAAUUGAUCUUAACAAGCCAUUGUGUUCGAAAUUUCGUACGAAACGGAUAAUUUGGAAGGAAGGAAACAACUUGGAUGCCAUGGACGAGAGUUCACCCCCCUUGGUCCCAGAAGCCGAUCCAACUCCAGUGAUUAGACCGGAAAUUGCUGAACAUUUUGGUUCGUGGAUGCCGUGCAAAGGAACAGAAAAGGAGGGGGGGAAAUCCGUGCUUUAGAAUCUCUAGCUCACGGUUUGGGAUUUUGGGAGAAGAUCUCGCUCGAUAAAAUGUUGAUGGAUUGGAACCCUACAGCUAAAGGCAAAUCUGUCCGUUUUGGGUCGGUCAAUGAAGGUGCUUCUUUUUCUAAUGUUAGACCUCAAGGGUAUCUUCUUGUUAAUGGACCUCGUAAUGCCCUCCCUAGACCAAAACCACGUGGAGUGAUGGCCACACACGAAUCUCAUAAACUCAAAGACCAUCAGACAGUAGCAAAUGAAAGUAACAUGGCCAGUUCUCAGUUUUUGAACGGUAUUAAUUCUCAUAGUCAUGUUGUUUCUAAUACUCCCACUCUUCUUUGUUCCCACUCAGACUCGAUAUUUCCUCUUGGUUUCCCUAUUACUCAGUCUCCUAAACACACCAGAUGAUUUUGUUAAAGCGACCCAAGAGGGCCAAUUUUGCGAGGGUGUCAUGUCCGAAGAAAUUGUUUCCAUGGUUGGGGACUCACAACUUCUUGUUGUUGGAGUUCUAGAAGCAGUGUCUGCUAGAGUGGACAGGGUGUCUAACUAGGAUUGUGGUUUUGUUACUGCUUGAUUUAAGCAGGUUUCCUCAUCUUAGCUUAUUUAUUGCGGAUUUUAUAUUGGAACUGCAGCAAGCUCCAGUUUUCAUUCUAUUUUAAUGGAGUUGCUUCGUAUGAACAGAGUUGAUAUUGUUAUUAUCGCUGAACCUAGGUAAGAAUGCAGAUAAAGUUUCUUAGAGUUUGGGUUAUGAUAAUGUGCUUAGGGUGGAUGCUGUAAGGAGAUUCCUUACAAUUGGUAUUAGAGCCACUUUCUAAGGGUAAAGGAAGGUUGCUUUUGUUCUGAAGCUAUCAACAAUGGUGGAAAACAACAAGAUCAAGGCUCUAACAAUACAAUGGUUGAUGGAUUUGCGGCAGAGAUUGGUUAUUAUAAACACGGGCCGGGGGGUGGGUGGGGUGUUGAAUGUUCAAAUGUGCCAGCUUUUUAUCAUAUUGCCUCUAACAAUUGGCAUAGCCUUUCAAUUUGUACAUUGUUGUUGACUUGUUCUAUGCAAAAGGGGUAAAAUAAUCACGACUUUACUUCUA